rnacentral:rRNA from 1 species
AGUUUUGAUCAUGGCUCAGAUUGAACGCUGGCGGGAUGCUUACACAUGAACGAACGGCAGCACGGACUUUCGGUCUGGUGGCGAGUGGCGAACGGGUGAGUAAUGUAUCGGAACGCCUAGUAGCGGGGAUAACUACGCGAAAGCGUAGCUAAUACCGCAGCCAGUUCUUCGGGGGAAAGCGGGGACCUUCGCUCCUGCACUAUUAGAGCGGCCGAUAAUGGAUUAGCUAGUUGCGGGGUAACGGCUCACCAAGGCGACGAUCCGUAGCUGGUUUGAGGACGACCAGCCACACUGGGACUGAGACACGGCCCAGACUCCUACGGAGGCAGCAGUGGGGAAUUUUGGACAAUGGGGGAAACCCUGAUCCAGCCAUCCCGCGUGCGAUGAAGGCCUUCGGGUUGUGAAAGCACCUUUUUGGCAGGAAAGAAACGGCACGGGAUAAUACCCCGUGCAACUGACGGUACCUGCAGAAUAAGCACCGGCUAACUAAUGCGCCAGCAGCCGCGGUAAUGUAGGUGCAAGCGUUAAUCGGAAUUACUGGGCGUAAAGCGUGCGCAGGCGGUUCGGAAAGAAAGAUGUGAAAUCCCAGAGCUUAACUUUGAACUGCAUUUAACUACCGAGCUAUGUGUCAGAGGGAGGUGGAAUUCCGCGUGUAGCAGUGAAAUGCGUAGAUAUGCGGAGGAACACCGAUGGCGAAGGCAGCCUCCUUGGGAUAACACUGACGCUCAUGCACGAAAGCGUGGGGAGCAAACAGGAUUAGAUACCCUGGUAGUCCACGCCCUAAACGAUGUCAACUAUUGCUGGGGCCUUCGGGCCUGGUAGCGCAGCUACGCGUGAAGUUGACCGCCUGGGGAGUACGGUCGCAAGAUUAAAACUCAGCGAAUUGACGGGGACCCGCACAAGCGGUGGAUGAUGGAUUAAUUCGAUGCAACGCGAAAAACCUUACUCACUCUUGACAUGUCUGGAAUCCCGAAGAGAUUUGGAGUGCUCAAGAACCGGAACACAGGUGCUGUAUGGCUGUCGUCAGCUCGUGUCGUGGAGAUGUUGGGUUAAGUCCGCAACGAGCGCAACCCUUGUCAUUAGUUGCUACGAAAGGGCACUCUAAUGAGAUUGCCGGUGACAAACCGGAGGAAGGUGGGGAUGACGCGUCCUCAAGGCCCUUAUGGGUAGGGCUUCACACGUCAUACAAUGGUCGGGACAGGGUCGCCAACCCGCGAGGGGGAGCCAAUCCCAGAAACCCGAUCACCGAACUGGAUCGCAGUUCGCAACUCGACUGGUAGUCGAAUCGCUAGUAAUCGCGGAUCAGCAUGUCGCGGUGAAUACGUUCCCGGUCUUGUACACACCGCCCGUCACACCAUGGGAGUGGGUUUUACCAGAAGUAGUUAGCCUAACCGUAAGGAGGGCGAUUACCACGGUAGGAUUCAUGACUGGGGUGAAGUCGUAACAAGGUAA